GCUGCCAACCUUGUUUCCGUUCCUUCUCUUCACCAAAACCCUAAUAACGAAAAGUACCCUUUGCACCUUCUCCAUCUUCCAUCUUCUUCCUCGCUCGCUCUCAUUUUCUUCCAUCCACGACCUAUUUCCUAUGCUUCACACCGUCCGCACUGUGUCUUUAGGGCACACUUCCACUUCAUUCUUUCCCUUCAAACCUUCUCACCCUUCUUCAUUCGCAUUCCACAUGGAGCAAACUCCUCUCUUAUCUUUCAAGUUAAAGCAGUCUAACCAACCCCGCAUCGCUUGUCAAGCAUCAUCGCACAAGCACGAAGCUAAGCUGUUUCUCCAAGAAAUAAAGAAUCAGUUGUUCAUGGACUAUCUGAAACGAUUGUUGGAGUUUUGGGUGGAGGUCAACUUGGUAGCAUGCUUUGUCAAGCUGCUUCUAAGAUAGCAAUUAAGAUCGUGGUUCUAGAUCCUCAGGAGAAUUGUCCGGCAAGCUCGUUGUGUUAUCAGCACAUGGUUGAAAGCUUUGAUGAGUGUGCAACAGUAGAGGAAUUUGCGAAGAGGACAAGUAUCUGCAAAAGGUUCACUUCUCUAAGCAUGGCAUUUCAAAGAAAACAGAAAGUACUUUAUAUUUGUUGUGUGAUUACAUUACAUCAGAGAAAAAUUGUACUCAGUACCUUUUCAGCAUCGAUGGCGUUAGCCACUAUGAUGAACUAUUGUGGAGAGACAGAUCUGAGUACCCAACGACUACGAAAAGUGUGAAAUGAACCUGACAUGCAUUUUGAUAUCUCAACUCCAUUGUCAAGAGUCACCACUAUCCAUCCAUCAUUGUUGCCAUUGUUUCCUCUAUUCGUGUCCGAAGCUGCUAAUAACUCUUGUAUGCAGCUUUCACUUGCAAACUGCACAUACUUUCUAAGAGAGUCCUCACUAAUCGACCAGGAUCGGCUGCAAGGUACAGUUCUAGUUCUGCUCAUUGUGACUUCUAUUGAUUUGUUUUCUUUAAGACAUUAAGGUUUAAAACUAUUGAUAAAUGAAAGACAUAAAUAUACACAAAAAGUGGCAAUGUCAUGUGAUGAUGCUUAGUUUAAAAGAGAAGAGAAAAAACAGAAGAUAAAUGUCAUGACCUGGAUGCUUAUACUGAAAUUCUAGUAUACACUCAUCGAUAAAUCAUGGGGGUUGUUAUCUAGCUAGUUGUUAUUAUAUGGCUUUAUCUCCUUGCUUCAUCAGUUGCUAUUGCCAGCCAACAGUCUAGCUUAUUUCUAGAGGGGAGACAUAAUGCUGACAGAGGAUGGAUCUCGGAGCUUAAAAAGUCGGGAGAAGCUUUGAUCUUGCCUAGAGUUGUUCUGGAAGCAUCACCCUAAGAAAGAAGAACCUAAGGAACAAAGCCAUUGACCUUAUUGUCACAGAGUGCAAG